GGAGGGCUGGCAGAACGGCUAAUGCACCGGUCUUGAAAACCGGCGUCCGCAAGGACUUGGGGGUUCGAAUCCCUCGCCCUCCGCCA
rnacentral:tRNA from 1 species